UACGGGAGGCAGCAGUGGGGAAUAUUGCACAAUGGGCGAAAGCCUGAUGCAGCUAUGCCGCGUGUAUGAAGAAGGCCUUAGGGUUGUAAAGUACUUUUCAUCGGGGAGGAAAAAACAAAACUAAUAAUUUUAUUUCUUGACGUUACCCGAAAAAGAAGCACCGGCUAACUCCGUGCCAGCAGCCGCGGUAAUACGGAGGGUGCUAGCGUUAAUCAGAAUUACUGGGCGUAAAGAGCACGUAGGUGGUUUUUUUAAGUCAGAUGUGAAAUCCCUGGGCUUAACCUGGAACUGCAUUUUGAAACUGAAAUACUGGAGUAUCGUAGAGGGAGGUAGAAUUCUAGGUGUAGCGGUGAAAUGCGUAGAUAUCUGGAGGAAUACCUGUGGCGAAAGCGGCCUCCUAAACGAAUACUGACACUGAGGUGCGAAAGCGUGGGGAGCAAACAGGGAUUUAGAUACCCGU
rnacentral:rRNA from 1 species